GACGAACGCUGGCGGCGUGCUUAACACAUGCAAGUCGAACGAAGAGCGAUGGAAGCUUGCUUCUAUCAAUCUUAGUGGCGAACGGGUGAGUAACGCGUAAUCAACCUGCCCUUCAGAGGGGGACAACAGUUGGAAACGACUGCUAAUACCGCAUACGAUCCAAUCUCGGCAUCGAGACUGGAUGAAAGGUGGCCUCUAUUUAUAAGCUAUCACUGAAGGAGGGGAUUGCGUCUGAUUAGCUAGUUGGAGGGGUAACGGCCCACCAAGGCGAUGAUCAGUAGCCGGUCUGAGAGGAUGAACGGCCACAUUGGGACUGAGACACGGCCCAGACUCCUACGGGAGGCAGCAGUGGGGAAUCUUCCGCAAUGGACGAAAGUCUGACGGAGCAACGCCGCGUGAGUGAUGACAGCCUUCGGGUUGUAAAGCUCUGUUAAUCGGGACGAAUGGUUCUUGUGCGAAUAGUGCGAGGAUUUGACG
rnacentral:rRNA from 1 species